rnacentral:rRNA from 1 species
CCUACGGGAGGCAGCAGUGAGGAAUAUUGGACAAUGGGGGCAACCCUGAUCCAGCCAUGCCGCGUGUGUGAAGAAGGCCCUAGGGUUGUAAAGCACUUUCAGUGGGGAGAAAGGUGGCUUACCUAAUACGUGAGUCAAUUGAUGUUACCCACAGAAGAAGCACCGGCUAACUCCGUGCCAGCAGCCGCGGUAAU